GCUGGGCGUAGUGGCGCAUGCCUGUAUUCCCAGCUACUCAGGAGGCUGAGGCAGAGGAAUCGUUGGAGCCCAGGAGUUUGAGGUUGCAGUGAGCUAUGAUCACACCACUGCACUCCACCCUGGGCAACAGAGUGAGACCCUGUCUCCA
rnacentral:SRP_RNA from 2 species